AGGUGCAUCCGUACCACCAUUAAUGUAUCGGAUCCAAUCAGAAUUUCGCACUUAAACAUGUUUAGGCGAGAGUAGUACUAGGAUGAGUGACUUCUUGGGAAGUCCUCGUGUUUUACCUU
rfam:Lupinus angustifolius cultivar Tanjil chromosome LG13, whole genome shotgun sequence.